UACAGGGGGGGGCAAGCGUUGUUCGGAAUUACUGGGCGUAAAGGGCUCGUAGGCGGCCGGCUAAGUCCGACGUGAAAUCCCCAGGCUUAACCUGGGAACUGCGUCGGAUACUGGCGGGCUUGAAUCCGGGAGAGGGAUGCGGAAUUCCAGGUGUAGCGGUGAAAUGCGUAGAUAUCUGGAGGAACACCGGUGGCGAAGGCGGCAUCCUGGACCGGCAUUGACGCUGAAUAGCGAAAGCCAGGGGAGCAAACGGG
rnacentral:rRNA from 1 species